AAAAGGGAAAAAGCAAUAAAAAAAGUAGAAUAAUCAGAAGGAGAAAACUGUACAGGUGCAUUAAUCUGGAACACACACAUAUGUAUGUUAUUGCACAGCCAGUCUGUCGGUCCGUAAGUCAGGGUGCCAUCAUUCGGAAGAAGUACCUACAGCCACGGCCACCAAACUGAUCGGAUCUGCGCUUCUUUUUGUUAUAAAUAAAAACAGAAAUGAAUUUAAAUCAGGCUAGCAACCCCGUCGAAGUUUCGCCAGCACGCAAAGAAAUGUGGCCAUGUUUAGUAAGAGGCUGCUCAGGGCAUAAGCGGUCAUACCAGAUCCCGCUUGGAAAUAGCAAAUAUUGGUACGCUAAUCUGGGAAUAAAGGUAGCGCGAAGGCGCUCUAGGGUGUGCGCAAAACAUUUCCUGGCGGAAUGCUUGUUGGAUCAUCGUCUUAGGAUGGGAAGCGUUCCGACUGAAAAUUUAGGCCGAGAGCCAGUGUAUUUACCUAAGUUUAGCAGACAUCAAAGAAUAAGCAUACAAAAAGCUAAAGCUAAGCUCCAAGAAGAGAACAAACAAAUUGAUGGAUGGGACCAGGAGGAUAUAUCCGAAUUUGAUAAAUAUAUCGUUGAAGAUCCCCAGUCCGAUAGCGCGGAACAGUCCACACAUUCCGAAAAGGAUGGAUAUGUCAUUGAAGAUCAUUCACAGUCGGAGUCAACAUUAAAAUCCAUAAAUUUGUAUUUGAAGCAGAGAAAUAAUGAGCUGCAAGCAGAGGCUGAAUGCCUACGUUUAGAAAAUUCUCAAUUAAGAAUGGAGAACAUUUCUUUGAAACGAAGUUUUGAAAUCCAUAAAUGUUUGUUCGAAUAAUGAAAAACAUCCUCCAUGGCAUAACGGAUUUAUCGGCAAUGAAUUAUAAA